CCAUACCCUGACUUUGCUGAUGGGGUGUCGGAAGCACUUGUUGUCUCCGGUCUCGCUGAGCGUGAUGGCAUAGAAUUGUCCUUUGUUGAGAGUUCUCAGUGAAAAGGAGCCUCCCAGAACCCACCUUGAUGUCUGGUCGUACAUGUACUCCUCGGCCCCAACGGAAGCACUCCGAAAUUUCUGCAAGAUUCAAGUCAACAAUUUAAAACAAAUAGAGACUGCACGGCACAAGCACGAUGGAAGAGCGGCCAGAAGCACAGCUAGUGAAGCAAGACUGCCCAAGGGAGCGAUUUAUUAUCAUUGAAAGCUCUGAAAGGCUCGCCAUCACUGACCUAGGGUAAAGCACCAGUACUACUCCGACAGCUGCGUGACAAGAAACAAAUGUGACAUUUGCUCCAUGUUACAUGGCCACUGACAGGGAUCAGAAGGAAUACACAGAUUAAUAAAGUACUAAGAACAAUGACUGAUAUACAUAAACACAAUAUCUGCUUACUAAGUACUAAUAAAUAAAAGCAAAUGACCAUAUUAUAGUACUUUAAGAGUAG